AUUGAACGCUGGCGGCAUGCUUUACACAUGCAAGUCGAACGGCAGCGCGGGGAAACCUGGCGGCGAGUGGCGAACGGGUGAGUAAUAUAUCGGAACGUACCCAGAAGUGGGGGAUAACGUAGCGAAAGUUACGCUAAUACCGCAUACGAUCUACGGAUGAAAGUGGGGGACCUUCGGGCCUCAUGCUUGUGGAGCGGCCGAUAUCUGAUUAGCUAGUUGGUAGGGUAAAGGCCUACCAAGGCGACGAUCAGUAGCUGGUCUGAGAGGACGACCAGCCACACUGGAACUGAGACACGGUCCAGACUCCUACGGGAGGCAGCAGUGGGGAAUUUUGGACAAUGGGCGCAAGCCUGAUCCAGCAAUGCCGCGUGAGUGAAGAAGGCCUUCGGGUUGUAAAGCUCUUUUGCCAGGGAAGAAACGGUUCGAGCUAAUAUCUUGGGCUAAUGACGGUACCUGAAGAAUAAGCACCGGCUAACUACGUGCCAGCCGCCGCAGUAAAAC
rnacentral:rRNA from 1 species